GUGGUUCUCGGGAAUCUGUGAUAUUCAUUAGCAAGCCUUCCAAGCCGGAGAUCCCGGGUUCAAAUCCCGGCCGCCGCACCA
rnacentral:tRNA from 1 species